CUGAAACCUCCGCUUCCCGGCUUCAAUCUCCUGCCUCAGCCUCCUGGGUAGCUGGGAUUACAGGAGCGCGACGCCACGCCCGGCUAAUUUUUGUGUUUUUAGUAUUUAGUAUGAGGUUUCCCCAUGUUGGCCAGGCUAGUCUCGAACUCCUGACCUCGUGAUCCGCCCAGCUCGGCCUCCCAAAGGGCUGGGAUUACAGGCGUGAGCCACUGCGCCCGGCCUGCACUGACCCUUUCUUUCUCUGAUCUUUCAGCUCCUUGAGGAGAAUGACCAGCUGAUCCGCUGUAUUGUGGAGUAUCAGAACAAGGGCCGCGGGAACGAGUGCGUCCAGUACCAGCAUGUGUUACAUAGAAAUCUCAUUUAUUUGGCUACCAUUGCAGAUGCCAGUCCAACCAGCACUUCAAAAGCAAUGGAAUAAUCUUUCAAAAGCAAUAGAAUAAUUUUCCAUUUGGCUGUCGUGAGGAGUGAUUGAAUGUAAUCCAUCUCUUACAAAACGGAGACAGGGUCUUUACCAACUCAGCUGGUUAAAACAUGAAUGAAACCUCUGUGGCUCUUUCAAAACAUGUGAAAA
rnacentral:sRNA from 1 species